UACGUAGGGUGCAAGCGUUGUCCGGAAUUAUUGGGCGUAAAGAGCUCGUAGGCGGUUUGUUGCGUCGGCUGUGAAAUCCCGAGGCUCAACCUCGGGUCUGCAGUCGAUACGAGCAAACUAGAGUGUUGCAGGGGAGACUGGAAUUCCUGGUGUAGCGGUGAAAUGCGCAGAUAUCAGGAGGAACACCGGUGGCGAAGGCGGGUCUCUGGGCCGUAACUGACGCUGAGGAGCGAAAGCAUGGGGAGCGAACGGG
rnacentral:rRNA from 1 species